UCUAAAGGCUUAUCAACAAUUGCUAGUUGAUUUACAAGAGCCUUUACCUUAUUAACAUGUGCCAUAAGGUCUUCACCUUCUUCCAUCUUACAAGUGAAGAAUUUCCUUCUUGUGAAGAGGAUGUGGGACAAGUUCUGGCUCUCAUAUAUGUUGCAAAGUGUCUUCUAUGCUUCCGCUGGUCCUUUGCAAUGGAUAAUGUGAGAAAAGUUGGCUUCAUCCAAAUUUGUGGCAAUCAUGCCAAAAGCCUUCUUUUCACGUCUUUUGAAGUCCUUGUGGUCCUUAGGGCUUGCAUCUAUGCUGGGAGGGUCUUCACUCUCAUCUACAAUAUCCCAAAGGUCUAAAGUCGCCAACAAAAGCUCCAUUUUGACCUUCCAAUGGUAGAAA
rnacentral:lncRNA from 1 species